GAGUUUGAUCGUGGCUCAGAUUGAACGCUGGCGGCAGGCCUAACACAUGCAAGUCGAGCGGUAGAGAGAAGCUUGCUUCUCUUGAGAGCGGCGGACGGGUGAGUAAUGCCUAGGAAUCUGCCUGGUAGUGGGGGAUAACGCUCGGAAACGGACGCUAAUACCGCAUACGUCCUACGGGAGAAAGCAGGGGACCUUCGGGCCUUGCGCUAUCAGAUGAGCCUAGGUCGGAUUAGCUAGUUGGUGAGGUAAUGGCUCACCAAGGCGACGAUCCGUAACUGGUCUGAGAGGAUGAUCAGUCACACUGGAACUGAGACACGGUCCAGACUCCUACGGGAGGCAGCAGUGGGGAAUAUUGGACAAUGGGCGAAAGCCUGAUCCAGCCAUGCCGCGUGUGUGAAGAAGGUCUUCGGAUUGUAAAGCACUUUAAGUUGGAGGAAGGGCAGUAAAUUAAUACUUUGCUGUUUUGACGUUACCGACAGAAUAAGCACCGGCUAACUCUGUGCCAGCCG
rnacentral:rRNA from 1 species